UACGUAGGGUCCGAGCGUUGUCCGGAAUUACUGGGCGUAAAGAGCUCGUAGGUGGUUUGUCGCGUCUGCUGUGAAAACUCGGGGCUUAACUCCGGGCCUGCAGUGGGUACGGGCAGACUAGAGUGCGGUAGGGGAGACUGGAAUUCCUGGUGUAGCGGUGAAAUGCGCAGAUAUCAGGAGGAACACCGGUGGCGAAGGCGGGUCUCUGGGCCGUAACUGACGCUGAGGAGCGAAAGCGUGGGGAGCGAACAGG
rnacentral:rRNA from 1 species